GCGGGAGAGCUGUAGGCCCUUUCACACGCCACUUCCCCCCAGGGACCCUUAAUCUCUGCAGACAGAUGCUCUGGGCAUUGCUUGCAGCCUGUCCCAGCCCCAGGGAGGGCUGCAGCCCGGGGAUGAGCGACUGCGGCUCCUGCAUUGCAGUUGCUCCUAACUCGAGCUGUUUGAAGUUGUUGCUGCCUCCAUUGUGAGCCGGGAGCCCGGGCCGAGCCGCUGCUGCUCCCCAGCGGGGUGUGUGCGGGGAGAGCCCUUCCCUAGCGCCCCUCUGUGCCCAGCCGGGGGGACUCUCUGCGGGGGCUGGAACCAGCCCUUGAGCCUGCAGGUUUUUCAAUUCCCAAGCCCAACAUGAUCUCUUGGAGGAAAUGGAGAAAAGAGCUGUGGGUCCCAGACUCUCAGAACUCUGAGGAAAGUGUGACCCUGAGGAACACCCUCACAGCAGGUGAUGGGAUGAUGAGUAAGAUUAAGGAGGAGAAUCCUGAGCAGGAAGGUCCUGAGGAAGUGGAACGACACAGGACGGUAUUGGGAAGAUCCAAAGGAAAUGUUUCCCAGAGACCCAAGCAAGGAGAAGCCUGUGGGAGUCGGUACAAGGCA